rnacentral:rRNA from 1 species
UGGGGAAUAUUGGACAAUGGGCGCAAGCCUGAUCCAGCCAUGCCGCGUGAGUGAUGAAGGCCCUAGGGUUGUAAAGCUCUUUCACCGGUGAAGAUAAUGACGGUAAUCGGAGAAGAAGGUCCGGCUAACUUCGUGCCAGCAGCCGCGGUAAUACGAAGGGGGCUAGCGUUGGUCGGAUUUACUGGGCGUAAAGCGCACGUAGGCGGUCUUUUAAGUCAGGGGUGAAAUCCCGGGGCUCAACCCCGGAACUGCCUUUGAUACUGGAAGUCUUGAGUAUGGUAGAGGUGAGUGGAAUUCCGAGUGUAGAGGUGAAAUUCGUAGAUAUUCGGAGGAACACCAGUGGCGAAGGCGGCUCACUGGACCAUUACUGACGCUGAGGUGCGAAAGCGUGGGGAGCAAACAGG